AUAAUGCAGUCGAGCGACUUCUUUAGAGCUUGCUUUAAAGAAGUUAGCGGCGGACGGGUGAGUAACACGUGGGCAACCUGCCUGUAAGACUGGGAUAACUUCGGGAAACCGGAGCUAAUACCGGAUAAUAUAUAGUACCUCCUGGUACUAUAUUGAAAGUUGGUUUCGGCUAACACUUACAGAUGGGCCCGCGGCGCAUUAGCUAGUUGGUGAGGUAACGGCUCACCAAGGCAACGAUGCGUAGCCGACCUGAGAGGGUGAUCGGCCACACUGGGACUGAGACACGGCCCAGACUCCUACGGGAGGCAGCAGUAGGGAAUCUUCCACAAUGGACGAAAGUCUGAUGGAGCAACGCCGCGUGAGCGAUGAAGGCCUUCGGGUCGUAAAGCUCUGUUGUUAGGGAAGAACAAGUGCGAGAGUAACUGCUCGCACCUUGACGGUACCUAACCAGAAAGCCACGGCUAACUACGUGCCAGCAGCCGCGGUAAUACGUAGGUGGCAAGCGUUGUCCGGAAUUAUUGGGCGUAAAGCGCGCGCAGGCGGUUUCUUAAGUCUGAUGUGAAAGCCCACGGCUCAACCGUGGAGG
rnacentral:rRNA from 2 species